AGAGUUUGAUCCUGGCUCAGGAUGAACGCUGGCGGCGUGCCUAACACAUGCAAGUCGAGCGAAGCGCUUGUUUCUGAUCUUUCGGGUGAAGAAACUUGUGACUGAGCGGCGGACGGGUGAGUAACACGUAGGUAACCUGCCUCACACAGGGGGAUAACAGUUAGAAAUGACUGCUAAUACCGCAUAAGCGCACAGGGCCGCAUGGCCCGGUGUGAAAAGCUCCGGCGGUGUGAGAUGGACCUGCGUCUGAUUAGCCAGUUGGCGGGGUAACGGCCCACCAAAGCGACGAUCAGUAGCCGGCCUGAGAGGGUGGACGGCCACAUUGGGACUGAGACACGGCCCAGACUCCUACGGGAGGCAGCAGUGGGGAAUAUUGCACAAUGGGGGAAACCCUGAUGCAGCGACGCCGCGUGAGCGAAGAAGUAUCUCGGUAUGUAAAGCUCUAUCAGCAGGGAAGAAGAUGACGGUACCUGACUAAGAAGCACCGGCUAAAUACGUGCCAGCAGCCGCGGU
rnacentral:rRNA from 1 species